AGUUAGUUAAAGUGCAGGAAUGUCUUGAUGACUGAAACAAUGCUGUGUUGAAUGUCCUUGACUAAACCAUCACAGUAAACUGGUUUUACUUCCUCCUAAACCAGUUCAGUCGCCUUAUACACUGUUUCCUCUGACAUCGUCUCUCUUUACUGUAUUUCACUGAUGGAACAGGAACUGUUCUUCAAGAUGAUAUACUCAGGCUGUGUCAGUCACUGACCUCUGACCCUCACUGACCUCUGAUGCUCUGUGACCUGUAACCCUCAGUGACCUCUGCCCUCCUGUUGCAGGUGUGUGUGUGCUGCUGCUGUCUGCACUGACUCUUUCUGCAGGUGAGUUGAUGAAGUGAAAACAAUCAGUGAGACUCCAACAAGAACACAAAUACAUUUGAUCCCAAUCACAGACUCAUGAGCUCUCUGCAUCACUCUGUUUGUGUCUGCUGAUCCAAUAAAGGUCUGAUCCUGGAGAUCCCUCCACAUCCUGUGCCAGCAGGAAGUGAUGUCACUAUGCGCUGCAAACAGAGUAAUGGUGACAUCAUCACAGCUAAUUUCUUCUUUAAUGGAAGUCAUGUUGGAAAUAAAUCAGAGUUCAUCAUCACAAACGUUCAGCAGUCUGAUGAAGGUCUCUACUCCUGUGCUACUGAUGUGUUUGGAGAAUCUCCUCAGAGCUUUCUGAGGGUCAGAGAUCCUUCUCCUCAUCUCCACACCCACACCUCCUCUAAUCCUGUGAACUCUCCUGCUCUUGUUUCUCCUGUAACAGACUCCUCCGCUAUUCCCUCCUCCUCCAUCCUCAUUCCGGUUGUAGCAGGUCUGGUUUCCGUGGUUCUUCUGGUUUUGGUGGUUUGGGGAGUUCUCUGGAAGAAACAGAAAGCAGCGCUCCACUCCUCCUCUCCUGUACAUGUGAACUGCAGUGACGUCACCAUCACACAGAGAGACAAUAGGAGAGCUAAAAGUCCUGAUGAUCCAGAUGUUAUCUACUCUGAUGUGAGGACUCACACUUCAGGCCCUGAUGAUGUUGUUUACCGUGAGGUGAUCUUCAGAAGGUAG
rnacentral:lncRNA from 1 species